GGGUGUGGUGUUCAACGUGUCUGUGCGACCUUGCAUUCGUGGCGAGGUGGUGGGCAGGUCGGGAGACGAGUGGUGAGUGGCGCCAAUGAGCGCGCGCGAGUGCGCCCAGGGAUACUUGGUUUGAAAGCCUGAACGAGGAGGCACGAGUUUUGAUACAGAAAGGGCACGGUCUAGCAGUGUCGUGUGUGUACAUGUGCAGGUUAGACUCACCGUUGGCGCACGCAUCUGGUCCGAUUCCGUCACCCAUUUCUGCUCCUCUUGUCCUGCUCCCGCCGCGCAGCUUCCCGUGCGACAGCGGCCUGUUCAG
rnacentral:lncRNA from 1 species